AAAAGCUCCGGCAGUAUAGGAUGGUCCCGCGUCUGAUUAGCUGGUUGGCGGGGUAACGGCCCACCAAGGCGACGAUCAGUAGCCGGCUUGAGAGAGUGGACGGCCACAUUGGGACUGAGACACGGCCCAAACUCCUACGGGAGGCAGCAGUGGGGAAUAUUGCACAAUGGGGGAAACCCUGAUGCAGCGACGCCGCGUGAGUGAAGAAGUAUUUCGGUAUGUAAAGCUCUAUCAGCAGGGAAGAAAAAAGACGGUACCUGACUAAGAAGCCCCGGCUAACUACGUGCCAGCAGCCGCGGUAAUACGUAGGGGGCAAGCGUUAUCCGGAAUUACUGGGUGUAAAGGGUGCGUAGGUGGCAUGGUAAGUCAGAAGUGAAAGCCCGGGGCUUAACCCCGGGACUGCUUUUGAAACUGUCAUGCUGGAGUGCAGGAGGGGUAAGCGGAAUUCCUAGUGUAGCGGUGAAAUGCGUAGAUAUUAGGAGGAACACCAGUGGCGAAGGCGGCUUACUGGACUGUCACUGACACUGAUGCACGAAAGCGUGGGGAGCAAACAGGAUUAGAUACCCUGGUAGUCCACGCCGUAAACG
rnacentral:rRNA from 1 species